rnacentral:rRNA from 1 species
UACGUAGGGGGCAAGCGUUGUCCGGAAUCAUUGGGCGUAAAGAGCGCGUAGGCGGCCCGAUAAGUCCGCUGUGAAAGUCAAGGGCUUAACCCUUGAAUGCCGGUGGAAACUGUCGGGCUAGAGUCCGGAAGAGGCGAGUGGAAUUCCUGGUGUAGCGGUGAAAUGCGCAGAUAUCAGGAAGAACACCCGUGGCGAAGGCGGCUCUCUGGGACGGUACUGACGCUGAGACGCGAAAGCGUGGGGAGCAAACAGG